rnacentral:rRNA from 1 species
UACGUAGGGUGCAAGCGUUGUCCGGAAUUAUUGGGCGUAAAGAGCUCGUAGGCGGUUUGUUGCGUCUGCUGUGAAAACUGGGGGCUCAACCCCCAGCCUGCAGUGGGUACGGGCAGACUAGAGUGCGGUAGGGGAGAUUGGAAUUCCUGGUGUAGCGGUGGAAUGCGCAGAUAUCAGGAGGAACACCGAUGGCGAAGGCAGAUCUCUGGGCCGUAACUGACGCUGAGGAGCGAAAGCAUGGGGAGCGAACAGG